rnacentral:rRNA from 1 species
GUCCACGCCGUAAACGAUGUCGAUUUGGAGGCUGUGUCCUUGAGACGUGGCUUCCGGAGCUAACGCGUUAAAUCGACCGCCUGGGGAGUACGGCCGCAAGGUUAAAACUCAAAUGAAUUGACGGGGGCCCGCACAAGCGGUGGAGCAUGUGGUUUAAUUCGAUGCAACGCGAAGAACCUUACCUGGCCUUGACAUGUCUGGAAUCCUGCAGAGAUGCGGGAGUGCCUUCGGGAAUCAGAACACAGGUGCUGCAUGGCU